rnacentral:misc_RNA from 1 species
GGACAUGUCUUCACAGAGAGAGGAGGAGGAGUCAUGUUUCUGAGGAGGAGCAGUCGUCCCGCUGUGCUUCGUGUCAGGACGUCCUGAAGGAUCCAGUCUCCACCAGCUGUGGACACUGGUUCUGCAGACAGUGCAUCACCUCAUACUGGGACCAGUCUGGUUCUUCAGGAGACUCCUCCUGUCCCCAGUGUGGACAAAGAUCCAGAAGAGGAGCUGGAGCUCAGACAGCCGGUCAGAGCAGCACUGUACAUGUGUCUGCUGAUGUCUUCACUUCUGACAACAGCACAUGUUUGAUUUU